GGGUCGUUAGCUCAGCGGUAGAGCACUACCUUGACACGGUAGGGGUCAGUGGUUCGAUCCCACUACGACCCAC
rnacentral:tRNA from 2 species